UACGUAGGGUGCGAGCGUUGUCCGGAAUUAUUGGGCGUAAAGAGCUUGUAGGCGGUCUGUCGCGUCUGCUGUGAAAACCCGCGGCUCAACUGCGGGCCUGCAGUCGAUACGGGCAGGCUAGAGUUCGGUAGGGGAGACGUGGAAUUCCUGGUGUAGCGGUGAAAUGCGUAGAUAUUGGGAGGAACACCAGUGGCGAAGGCGGCUCACUGGACC
rnacentral:rRNA from 1 species